CCUACGGGUGGCAGCAGUGAGGAAUAUUGGUCAAUGGGCUUACGCCUGAACCAGCCAAGUCGCGUGAGGGAAGACUGCCCUAUGGGUUGUAAACCUCUUUUGUCAGGGAGCAACGCCGGCUACGUGUAGCCGGACUGAGAGUACCUGAAGAAAAAGCAUCGGCUAACUCCGUGCCAGCAGCCGCGGUAAUACGGAGUAUGCGAGCGUUAUCCGGAUUUAUUGGGUUUAACGGGUGCGUGGGCGGAAUGCCAAGUCAGCGGUAAAAUCGCGGGGCUCAACCUCGCUCCGCCGUUGAAACUGGCGGUCUUGAGUGGGCGAGAAGUAUGCGGAAUGCGUGGUGUAGCGGUGAAAUGCAUAGAGAUCACGCAGAACUCCGAUUGCGAAGGCAGCAUACCGGCGCCCAACUGACGCUGAAGCACGAAAGCGUGGGUAUCGAACAGGAUUAGAUACCCUUGUAGUC
rnacentral:rRNA from 1 species